rnacentral:rRNA from 1 species
UACGGGGGGAGCAAGCGUUGUUCGGAUUUACUGGGCGUAAAGGGCGCGUAGGCGGCCACCGCAAGUCAAUUGUGAAAUCUCCGGGCUUAACUCGGAAAGGUCAACUGAUACUGCGGGGCUAGAGUGCGGAAGGGGCAACUGGAAUUCUCGGUGUAGCGGUGAAAUGCGUAGAUAUCGAGAGGAACACCGCGGCGAAGGCGGGUUGCUGGGCCGACACUGACGCUGAUGCGCGAAAGCCAGGGGAGCGAACGGG